rnacentral:rRNA from 1 species
UACGAGAGGCGCAAACGUUAUUCGGAUUUACUGGGCUUAAAGAGUUCGUAGGCGGCGCAGAAAGUAGGGUGUGAAAGCCCUCGGCUUAACCGAGGAAUUGCGCUCUAAACUACUGUGCUUGAGGGACCUAGAGGUGAGCGGAACUGAUGGUGGAGCGGUGAAAUGCGUUGAUAUCAUCAGGAACACCGGAGGCGAAGGCGGCUACACUGGGGGUCUUCUGACGCUGAGGAACGAAAGCCAGGGGAGCGAACGGG